GACGAACGCUGGCGGCGUGCUUAACACAUGCAAGUCGUACGGUAAGGCCCUUCGGGGUACACGAGUGGCGAACGGGUGAGUAACACGUGGGUGAUCUGCCCUGCACUUCGGGAUAAGCCUGGGAAACUGGGUCUAAUACCGGAUAGGACCCUGGGAUGCAUGUCCUGGGGUGGAAAGCUUUUGCGGUGUGGGAUGGGCCCGCGGCCUAUCAGCUUGUUGGUGGGGUGAUGGCCUACCAAGGCGACGACGGGUAGCCGGCCGGCGAGGGUGACCGGCCACACUGGGACUGAGAUACGGCCCAGACUCCUACGGGGGGCAGCAGUGGGGAAUAUUGCACAAUGGGCGCAAGCCUGAUGCAGCGACGCCGCGUGAGGGAUGACGGCCUUCGGGUUGUAAACCUCUUUCAGCACCGACGAAGUGCAAGUGACGGUAGGUGCAGAAGAAGGACCGGCCAACUACGUGCCAGCCGCCGCCGUAA
rnacentral:rRNA from 1 species